CAGGCGCUGUCCGGGAGGAAGGAGUUCAUCGGCUGGGUGCGGGAGGCGCUGGGAGGCAUCAACGAGCUGAAGGUGUUCGUGGACCUGGCUUCCAUCUCGGCGGGCGAGAACGACAUAGACGUGGACCGGGUGGCCUGUUUCCACGACGCCGUGCAGGGCUACGCCCCCCUGCUGUACAAGCUGGACGCCAGGGCAGGGUUCGGCGCGUUCAUGGAGCACCUGGCAGAACUGUGGAAGGCUCUGGACAACGACCAGCACCUGCCCAAUAAACUGAGUGAUUCUGCCAGGAACUUGGAGUGGUUGAAAACAGUGAAGGACAGUCAUGGGUCUGUAGAACUCUCGUCCCUGUCCCUGGCCACCACGAUCAACAGCAGAGGCAUCUAUGUGAUCGAGGCACCCACAGGUGGCCGAAAGGUGAGCGACCCGUCCCCAGGCGCAGCUGUGGGCGGCACGUGCAGGCUGCUGCGCGCCCAGGGGCUUCCGCCGCCCGAAACCGCCUCUGACACAUGGCCUUUCCCAGGUUUCCCCGGACGCGGUUCUGCGCCUGAUCCUCCCCGAGGGCCACGGUGGCCACGAGGAGACGCGGGACUACUCUUUGGAAGAGCUGAAGGAGCUCUUGAACAAGCUGAUGCUGAUGUCUGGCAAGAAGGAUCACAGCAACACUGAGGUGGACAGGUUUUCUGAGGUGAGGACGCGAGCGUG
rnacentral:lncRNA from 1 species